rnacentral:lncRNA from 1 species
GAUCUUCUCAUUUCUUUCCGGUCUUUAUUGUUUUUUUUUUCCAUUCUUUCCAUUCUAAAAUUUUGGCAUCUUUGCAUCCUUUUCUAGCAUCUUUUCCCUUCGUUCCUUUGCUGAUAUGCACUUGCACCUUUAUUUUUGGCUUAGUUGGAUGGUGGAAGGAGCAUGUACAGAAGUCUUGGUGAAGAAAGAAGAAUAUUCUUGAGCUGUUGAAAGAACGAACAUAUUGGGAGUUUAAGGGAGUGAUGUGAUAUAUAUUGUUGAUUGAGAAUACAGGGAGUACUGGAAUUUGUGCCAUCGAGUGCUUAAGGGUCAUCAGAAGGUCGUAUGCUGGAUGCUCCCAAUCACCUUUGUUUUCAUUAUUAACGAGAUAAAAUGGAAAAAGGAAUAUAAACUGGGGAAUUUGUCUGCAUAAAAACAAGAAGAGAUUGAUGAUCAAGCAUCUUUAGGAAACUAGCAGGAAGGACAGAAAGAAGACAUGGAAAGAGGUGCAUGGAAAGGAGAAAAGUAGUUGUUUAGCCAGUAUUUGUUCGGUGAGUAGUUUGCAAUUAUGGAACUCCAUACAACCUGUCACAUGGGAACUAUAUCAUGGUAAAUCUAGGACUCUUAAACACCCAAAUAGCCAAGAUUUUUUCGAUACCAAGCCUGUUCAGAGUGUGGAUCCCAAUCUCCCUAAAACUCCAGUUUCCUAUUCAAAACUAUUCCAGUAACUGGAAACUUAAAACUCAGUUUAUAGUGUGGGGCCUGCCAUGCUUCAACUACACUCACCCUUCUGCACCCAUUCCGCCUUCCUCUUCCUUUCUUUUCUUUCCUCUUUCUCUUGAAUAGGCUUGUGUGAUGCGUGUGCUAGGUGCUAGUAAUAAGGAAAUAAACAGCGAGACUCUGCAUAGUUCCAUUAAUUUGCUGCACUGGGAGAAACUAUAUCCUUCAGUUUAGAAGCUCCAAAUAUCUACCAUAAUAACAAAGUAAACAAUGAGACUCCAUGUAAUUUUGUCAAUUUGUUGCAUUGGGGAACACUUAUCCUUGGGUUUAGAAGCUUCAAUUUAUUGGGCCUUGUGCAACUUAUAGUGGCAACAGUUCAUGAUUUCAAGCCCUUUGCAGCCAAUGUAGUCAUUACAAUUUUGCAAGAUACACUCUUGAUGUAAAUUUGGAAUUUGAGGGACUGAUAAUGAAGAGCAAUGGAAGUCUUGGUAAUCUCAUAGGCAUAUAGGCUACAUAUUAACUAAUGACAUGAAUCGAAGGAUGCAUAGAGAAGCAGGCCCAUCUUAUGAAAAAUAGGUAGACCGAGGAAAGAGCUAUUCUUUUGUCCUCGUUCUCACAUGUGUGUACACAUAAGGUUCACCGUCUCGGUGUACUGGACCCCAGAUUGGUACCAUCCUAUUACAAUAUCGGUACACAAUAUGAUAUAGUAAGGUUUAGCAUAUGGAGUGUUGAUACGGUACAGUACCAUGAUACCGGUACGGUGAGGUAUGCUUAGUAUGAUAUGGUACUAAUGGUUACGACAAAUCUUGGUACACAGUGAUUGGGCUAGAAUCCAUUUGAGGUAAAUUGAAUGUUAAUUAUGUCAAUUCAAAUUACAAAACAGGCUAUUCAAAUUUGAGAAUCUUCAUUUUGUCAUGAUCCAUAAUUUUGUUAAAUGGCUUUGGAAAAUGAAAUCAAAUGGUUUUAGUUGUGUUAUGGAUGGAAAUUGAGAAUCCAAAUUGUGGACCAUGAUACAUGCACUAGAUGUACAUAGAGGUGUGAUCUACAUAUCAUAAAACGUGUAUAAACCAUGGUUCAUCAUGCUGGUACAUAUUGCCCCGUAUUGGGUGUACCGUGCCAUAUAGGUGCCGAACUAAGACUUGGUACGAGGGCCAUGCCGAGUCUUGGGACGUCGAACUGACCCACAUACCAAGUGUAUCGGCAUUGCACCAGCAUGAUAAGGUACAGAUUACCGAGAUGGCGAACUUUACAAGUAUGAACUAAAACUCGGUUGUGAUCUCAGCCGCUAGAAGUUUCAAGAAACUGGAAAUCAUGGGUUUAUGUUGUAUCUUUCCUGUAGAUCAAGCAGGUGCAAAAAUAGGUGGUAACAAUUCUGCAAGUGCGCUAAAAAUACAUGAUAGAUCAUGUAAAUUGAAAGGUGAUGUGGUCUUGGUUACAUAUCAGAGAACAUGCGUCCAUUGAAAUUCAAUGGCUUUUGAUGCUUGGAUCAUAGCAAAACUUCAUGUCAUGCACAUGUCUGAAGUCCAUUCUUUUGAUAUUUUGAUUUGGUACAUUUUUAAUAAGGUGGAUCAUGGUCUACAUGUUGGAUCUCCAAUUUGAAGGACCCACCUCUCCAUUUUGAAUUGUUAAACUUUUACCAGAAAAUUAAUGUGUAGUGUGCAGUCCAACUAUUCAUGUGUAUAUAUGCAUAGCAUGCAUGCUUGCAGUAUGAUAUGAUGUCCAUUAAGUGUGUUGUUUGACUUGUAUGUUUGUGUAUAUGCGUGCAUGAAGGGCUCAUCUUAGAGUUUUGAAUCAUUGAACUUUUAUCUAAAAUUUGACAUUUAGCGUGUAGUCCAACUAUGCAUGUAUGUAUAUAUGCAUGCACGCACGCAUGCGUGUGUGCAUGCGUGCAGCAGAAUAUAUGUCUUUUGAGCCACAAACUAGUUGUCCUUUGGCAAUGCUCAUGUUUACUUAUUCUUAUUUUUCAGCAUGACUACAAGGAAUUAUGGUAGAUCAAAUGCAAUGGAUGCUAGCAGAAAUUUGAAGUUUGAACUUAAAUUAAAUUGCUUGGGUAGAUCUUUAAUUAUAUUUGAUUAAUCUCUGAGUACAACUCCUUUUCUCUUGUUUGCUGCUUUUUGAUUUGCAAUAAGGAUUUGCCUUUGGUUAUUGUUUCCUGAAUGUGCUUUUAUCAAGUUACCAUCUCUGGCUUGUUAUCUACCCUGAGAAGCUUUGCUGCUACUAGGCUUUUCAUAUUCUAGAGUAAGACUCUUCUUGCUGUCAAGGUUUUGUUAUUGCAGUUGUUGAAUAAAUGUUGUAAUGAUGCAUCUCAGGCAGUUGAAAAUAAUGAAGAGCUAAAGCUUAAAAUGCAGAAAGAAACCCCAGAAAAUCUUCAGUCUAUGUCCCUAGACAAGGUUUGUGUUUUUCUCAUUCUGGUUUUAAGCAUGUGCAUGAAUUUUUGCAUGAGCAUGAAUUGAACUAUUACUUUCUAAAACAGAGAGAAAUUGAUGGGAUUCAUUUGCGAGUAUGUUAUAGUAAUAUGCAAA